rnacentral:rRNA from 1 species
UAGCGCCGAAGGUACUCGGACCGGAAGGUCCCGGGAGAAUAGGACGUGGCUGCGU